GAUCAUGGCUCAGGAUGAACGCUAGCGGCAGGCCUAAUACAUGCAAGUCGAGGGGCAGCGCGGUAGCAAUACUGGCGGCGACCGGCGCACGGGUGCGUAACACGUAUGCAACCUACCUUCAACUGGAGGAUAGCCCGGGGAAACUCGGAUUAAUACUCCAUAACACAGGGAUCCCGCAUGGGAAUAUUGUUAAAGCUACGGCGGUUGAAGAUGGGCAUGCGUUCGAUUAGCUAGUUGGUGUAGGUAACGGCUCACCAAGGCGACGAUCUUUAGCUGGUCUGAGAGGAUGAUCAGCCACACUGGGACUGAGACACGGCCCAGACUCCUACGGGAGGCAGCAGUGGGGAAUAUUGGACAAUGGGCGAAAGCCUGAUCCAGCAAUGCCGCGUGAGUGAUGAAGGCCUUAGGGUUGUAAAGCUCUUUUACCCGGGAUGAUAAUGACAGUACCGGGAGAAUAAGCUCCGGCUAACUCCGUG
rnacentral:rRNA from 1 species